rnacentral:lncRNA from 1 species
UAGCACUUCAGCUGCUGGGGUGAGCUGAGACAUAGAGGUGCUGUUUAUGUGUUAUCUGAAUAGAUUAUUUCAGGUAAAGAUCUCCAAUCUGUUUCUGAAGAAUUUCAAAUAAUCCAAAGGAGAGAUUCAGUAAAGCACAAUCUGUCUCUUGCUUAUCAGCUAACAGUAUCAGGAAUUUGAUCUCCCAAAGACUACCCAGCAGUUUGCAGCACACAAACAAGCUGAAGGGAGUAGAGAAGAUUCACAGACCAAUAAAAGAGAGGGCUGAGGAGUAGAAAGAUGUUUUUUCUCCUAUAAGAUACCAUCAAUUUUGUAUCAGAAAUACUUUGCUCUGCCCACCAGUGCUUCUGAUGUUCACAUGGACAUUAAGGACUGCCACAACAUAAAAGAUUUAAGGCUGAAAAAUUGCGUUACUCAACUUCAUUAGAGUGUGCAGAAUUAUGCAGGAGGAGAAAAAAACAGCUUCAAGAACUUUGAAACCAAUGGUGAUGUCUUUCCAGAUGUUUCUAAGGUCAUAGCUUCCUGGACAGAGUCUGAGGUCAACAGUAUUUUUAUUCAUUUCAGUUAAUUUCCUGUAAAUAUUCCAGUAAU